rnacentral:rRNA from 1 species
UACGUAGGGCGCGAGCGUUGUCCGGAAUUAUUGGGCGUAAAGAGCUCGUAGGCGGCCGGUUGCGUCUGCUGUGAAAUCCCGGGGCUUAACCCCGGGCGUGCAGUGGAUACGGGCCGGCUGGAGGCAGGCAGGGGAGAAUGGAAUUCCCGGUGUAGCGGUGAAAUGCGCAGAUAUCAGGAGGAACACCAGCGGCGAAGGCGGCGCUCUGGGCCGGUACUGACGCUGAGGAGCGAAAGCGUGGGUAGCAAACAGG